rnacentral:rRNA from 1 species
GUCGAUGGCCAUACCGCCCUGAACGCGCCCAAUCUCGUCUGACCUCGGAAGCUAAGCAGGGUUGGCCUGGUUAGUACUUGGCUGAGAGAAGGAACUAGGGCCUAAAGAAC